rnacentral:rRNA from 1 species
UCUGAAUGUCAAAGUGAAGAGAUUCAACCAAGCGCGGGUAAACGGCGGGAGUAACUAUGACUCUCUUGGGGUAGCCGAGCACGCUCAGCCCCCUUGGCCCUCGUAAGGCGCGCCCAGCUUGCACGCAGCAUAGUCUCCCUGGCCUCCUUGGUGCCAAGGCCCGCAGGAAAGCUGUAUAGGACUAACACACAAAACGUUCCUGCCGAGCGCUGCAGACCAUAUCGAAGCGACGAGAGUCAAGGCAGCGCAGGAAUGGCGGGAGUGUCCUGGAACUGUUAACGGAGCGCACAGUGCGUGCCCGAGCUUAAGCCUCGUCGCCUGCCCGAAUCACAGACUGGAUUAGGAGAGUAGGGCUCCGCCCCGUGGAGAAGGCGUGCGGGUCCGCUAACGUUCCUGCGGGAAUGGGAGGGGAGUAAGUAUUGCGGAUCGUACCGCCCUCGGUCCCACUUGUGAAAGAAGGUUGACUUAUGCUUGCGGUAAGGCGGGUAAAGGGGCCCGCAGGGGCCGAGAGUCCCGUGGGCCAGCUCGUUGGGUGGUGCGGGCUGGCCAAAACACAUAGUUACUUCUGGUGACUGGCCUCCCCGUGGUCCCGCUGGACACACUGCGCAGGGGGUGACCCGCCCCCCCUGGCCCGAGAGGGCAACGCAGUGUGACUAAACAGUCACUGGUUUAACCGCGCAAGCGGAUGCGCCAGGUUUUAUUGCCUCCUGGUUUCCGGGAGGGCCCUGGCGUACCCGGCACUGUGGGCGGGGGCGUUCGGGUUCGGUCCUCCCCGGAGGCUCUGGCCCGUCUCCUGAUUGACCCGGGUGGUAAAGUCCGUGGUGCUCGUAGCCGUCGAGGUUGCCUUAUGGUAGCUGCGAAGCGAUAAAGCCGGACGCGCACCUAAAAACAGCACAAGAGUGUCGGCCUUCCUGGUUUGUAAUCUGGACCGUAAAAAGUUUCUUGUGGCAGUGCUGGGUCUGCGAAAGCCUACGUGGUUAACACGAUGGUGCAGACUUGGGCGCGAAGCUGUCGCAAAUACCUGGGCUUUUCUGGGUUGGGUCCGGCCCGCUGUGUGAUGGUCAGGCAGGGGAACAUUAGCUGCUGCCUGUGAAAACGGGGCUAGGCACCCCAGCAAUGGGUUAGCGGCUGAGGCUGUCGCGCCUAAUUGCCGAACCCCAAGUAACAGACCCCCCGUGGUGCAACAGGACUGCGUUAAGCCGGGGUGAUUGCGCGAGUGCUAACCGUGACGACGCUGUUCGUUUCCUUUUCUCAGCGCCCGGAGCACAUUCAAUCGCGCGCAUUUCGCCACCCGGUGCGGACUGACUGCUUUAAGCCGGGGCGUGCCAUAUUAUGAGUAUGAAUAGAUGCAACCAUGCAGUACUCUGCCGUUGCCUUUAUGGCAGGCCAUGAGCGAAAAGCUCAUAGUCGAUUCUCUGUGGUGCGGAUGCCGGAGGGGUAUCGUGAUUCCGGCCCGCACCCCUGCGUGGGCCGUUGAGACCCGUGCCCCUUACCGGCUAUUCGGCGCGAAAAGUCGGUCAGCUGAUGACUGAGCUUCAGUACCCACCUGUCCGAUGCGUCGUACCGCAAUGAAGCCAUGGCAGAAUACCUUCUUAAUGAAGAUGAACGAUUCCCUGUGUUAGGCGGGCUCCGCGCUCUUUGUCCCCUGCUGGUCGUCUUUUUGUGGAUGGGACAGUGGGUGGUGGAAAGUGGCGCGGUUUAAGGGGAGGAGGAGACCGUUGUUAGCCAAAUGCCUCGUCAUCUAAUUAGUGACGCGCAUGAAUGGAUUAACGAGAUUCCCACUGUCCCUAUCUACUAUCUAGCGAACCCACAGGCAGGGGAACGGGCCUGCGCCUAACAGCGGGGAAAGAAGACCCUGUUGAGCUUGACUCUAGUCUGAUUUUGUAGAGAGACAUCAGAGGUGUAGCAUAAGUGGGAGGUCGUCACAUCAGGGGCUUGCUCCGUGCGGCCGACAAUGAAAUACCACUACUCUGAUCGUUUCUUUACUUACUCGGUGAGACGGAAUCGGAGCUUCCCCACGUGGGAUUGCCUCCUGUUUCUAGCCUAAAGCGGCGGAAGGGAGGGCGCGCUUGGUUUCGGCCUUGCGUUAGCCUGACCGGGCGUUCGCGCCCGCCGCGAUCCGCUCCGAGGACAUUAUCAGGUGGGGAGUUUGACUGGGGCGGUACAUCUGUCAAACGAUAACGCAGGUGUCCUAAGGCCAGCUCAGCGUGGACAGAAACCUCGCGUAGAGCAAAAGGGCAAAUGCUGGCUUGAUCCUGAUUUUCAGUACGAAUACGGACUGCGAAAGCAGGGCCUAUCGAUCCUUUUGACUUUAUGAGUUUUAAGCAAGAGGUGUCAGAAAAGUUACCACAGGGAUAACUGGCUUGUGGCGGCCAAGCGUUCAUAGCGACGUCGCUUUUUGAUCCUUCGAUGUCGGCUCUUCCUAUCAUUGUGAAGCAGAAUUCACCAAGCGUUGGAUUGUUCACCCAUAAAAAGGGAACGUGAGCUGGGUUUAGACCGUCGCGAGACAGGUUAGUUUUACCCUACUGUUGGCAGUUGUGUCGUUGAUACAGCAGUCCUGCUCAGUACGAGAGGAACGGCAGGUCCGGACAUAUGGUUUCCGCUCUUGGUCGAUCGGCCAGUGGAGCGAGGCUACGUCCGUGGGAUUAUGCCUGAAAGCCUCUAAGGCAGAAUCCCGGCUGGAUGACCAACGAUACCGCGUACGGCCUGCAUCGGGAUGGUCACCAUUGAAUUUUCGAGAGAUUCGCUCCCCGCUCGUUCGCGGGCGGGGCUAGAAGAUGGACCCGUGCAGAGGGAACUCGGGAGUGCCUCGACAAACAGGUUCAGGCUCUCCCCUCCCUAGUAGAGAACACCCAGAUGCUGAUGUGCCGUACCGAAUCGUUCGCAGACGACUUAC